rnacentral:misc_RNA from 1 species
CAACAGUGAUGACAAGGAAGUAACCAAGAAUCAAGUACAAUCAAUAACGUGCAUAAACUAUCAUACAUACGAGGAAGAGAAAGAGAACCUAUGAGAGAUAUCAGGAGAGACUUGAAGAAGACGUGGAAAACGGAGAAGCAACUAAACCAUGAAUUAACUCUUCUUAUCAUAUCUUCAUUUUUUUUUUUCCUUCUCUAUUUUUAGACCAAGAUUAAACCCGAUAAAUACACAAUACUUUUCCAUUUUCUUUUUCUCUCUAUCUUAUGUCCUAUUAUUAUUAUUAUAUUUCUUUCA